rnacentral:rRNA from 1 species
GAAUAUGGGGGGACCAUCCUCCAAGGCUAAAUACUACUGACUGACCGAUAGUGAACCAGUACCGUGAGGGAAAGGCGAAAAGAACCCCGGAGAGGGGAGUGAAAUAGAACCUGAAACCGUAUGCGUACAAGCAGUGGGAGCCUACUUUGUUAGGUGACUGCGUACCUUUUGUAUAAUGGGUCAGCGACUUAUAUUCAGUGGCGAGCUUAACCGAAUAGGGGAGGCGUAGCGAAAGCGAGUCUUAAUAGGGCGUUUAGUCGCUGGGUAUAGACCCGAAACCGGGCGAUCUAUCCAUGGGCAGGUUGAAGGUUAGGUAACACUGACUGGAGGACCGAACCGACUACCGUUGAAAAGUUAGCGGAUGACCUGUGGAUCGGAGUGAAAGGCUAAUCAAGCUCGGAGAUAGCUGGUUCUCCUCGAAAGCUAUUUAGGUAGCGCCUCAUGUAUCACUGUAGGGGGUAGAGCACUGUUUCGGCUAGGGGGUCAUCCCGACUUACCAAACCGAUGCAAACUCCGAAUACCUACAAGUGCCGAGCAUGGGAGACACACGGCGGGUGCUAACGUCCGUCGUGAAAAGGGAAACAACCCAGACCGUCAGCUAAGGUCCCAAAGUCAUGGUUAAGUGGGAAACGAUGUGGGAAGGCUUAGACAGCUAGGAGGUUGGCUUAGAAGCAGCCACCCUUUAAAGAAAGCGUAAUAGCUCACUAGUCGAGUCGGCCUGCGCGGAAGAUGUAA